CCCAAAGCCCUCCAGUACAUAGUUGUAUAUUCUAGUUGUAGGUCCUUCUGGUUGUGCUAUGCGAGAUGCCCCCUCAGCAUGGCUUGAUAAGCAGUGCCAUGUCCACUCCUGGGGUCUGAACCGGUGAAACCCUGGGCCAUGGAAGCAGAGCGCAUGAACUUAACCACUCGGCCAUGGGGCUGGCCCCAAAUGCCCUAUUUUUGAUAACUGCUAUUUAUUCAUUUUUCAACCCCUAAUGAUCAACUUAGGCUUUUGUUGAUCUUGGAAAUUUUCUAGAUAAGACAUCAGAAAUUACAAAACUGCCUUUGAAAUGCUAUGCUAGUUCUAAAAUAUUAUCUCUUGACAAGCUCUGAUAUGCUAAUAAAUGUCCCCUGAUGGGACCUGUACAGGUGGUGUGAAGACAACAGUGAGAUUCCUCCCAAGGACAUGGUAAUAAGACACCCCCAGGGGUAAAACUAAUUCGAUCAACAUGUGGUGAGGUGAGCCUGAGUGUUUCCCAGAUAGGUGAUCUCAACUCAUUUGAGGAAAGAAAAUAUGAACAGAAAUUUACCAAGGGUUUGGAGAAACAAGCUGUGACCGUGUAUAUACAGUGUUAGCCACAGAGGGGGGCUGCUGAAUCCGAGAGAUGUGAGCACUUCAGUGACCAGAAGCGUCCUCUACUUCAAGUAAUAUCAGUUUAUCAAGACUUGCUGUGGCUCAGGAAGAACAGACCUCGAGACUUGCCACUUUGGGCUCUAAUUGCAAGCUUCACUGAACCACCUUCUGAUUGCUACUAUGGCCUCCAAGCUGUCCUUCAGGAAGCGGAACUCUGGAGGAAAGCACCAGAACUCCAUUCCACACAUGGUAUGUUUAGAGAAGCUUUCUGAUUUAUGCAUCAGUCUCAUGGAAAUUUAGUUUGUGUACUUCUGCCCCCACGUCUGUCAAUUUAGUCUAUGAAUUCUGAAACUUCUGAUAAAAUGCAGUUUCUGACCCUUCAGGACAAAGAACCAAAGGCCAGACAAUUUAUUGGAAACUUCACUCUUCUGGGCUUCUCCAGAGCCAGGCUACCAGUGUUCUCCUGGUCAUAGUCUCUAUCUCACUGAAACGGCUCUCAGGUUUCCUCACAGAUAUUCUAGGCAGUUGUGCUAAAUGGUAGGACAGACCGUGACAUGCUUGUGACAUAAAAUGUAGCAGUUGGGCAGGGAGAAGAAAGAAACCACUUUAUCACAGUGGCUUACUGCAGUUUGGCGCUAGCUCUUGGGUCAACAGGAUGAAUUUUCACCAGGUGAAUAGCUCAGGUCUAGAAAGGGUAUUUCACACUGUUCUCUUCUUCACUUCAUCCAUAAACACACACUGUAGUAGCCAUCUGUGCUGUGUAGGAAAUUACCCCAAAAUACAGCAGCUCACAACAGCACACAUUUAGUCUCUCAGCGUCGUUUCUGCAGGUCAAACCUAGGAGUGGCUCAGCUUGGGGUUCUGGCCCAGCGCCCCUCGUGAGGUUUCACUCCAGCAGCAGCAAACCUGCAGUCCUCUGGAGCUGAGCGGACGCAGAGGACCCCCUUCCAAGAUGGCCGCCCCCACGGCUGUUGGCGGGAGGCCUCGGCUCUGUAGCGCGUGAGCCUCUCCACAGGGCUGCUGAGCAUCCUUGGGCCAUGGCAGCUGGCUGCCUUCAGCUUCCUUCCAAGUGUGCCUAUAACUUAAAUUUGCCUAAUACAAGCUACAGGAAGAACUUAUCGUUGGGGGAGGAGGUUGUCCUUCUCCCACUGGAUGAGAAUAGAGGAACAUACUGCCUAUUUGCUGCUGGCAGCCACCUUACCACCAUGAGGGGAUGCAGCAGAAUGGAAAGAUAGAAAAAAAUAGGUGCUUUAAGACGUGGUUGAGCUUAACCUUGGAGCCUAUCUAACGCUGGACUUGUUAGGUGAGAUAAUACAUUUUCUAAUUAUCUCAGCAGGUGUGAGCUGGGUUUUCUGUUACUUACAGAAAUUUUGUAUCCUAACUGGUACAAAAUACCUAAAUUCCCAAAAAAAUUUGCCUCAAUUUUUUGGUGCCCUGCUUUGCUGAUGUAGUUAGGUUGUGCCUGGUCUGUGGAUUGAGCCAUCCAGCACUGCCAGCUGCUCAUGGACGGCAAGUUGAAGAGGGGCAAGAGUGUAAAGAUAAGGAGGCCAGAUAAGAAGCUUUGUUAACAGGAGAUGAUGGUGGCUUUGGGAUGUACCAAAAAAGAUAAUGGACAAGUGGAAAAAUUAAGGAGAUAUUUGGGGGACCGGCCGGGUGGCGCGGCGGUUGGAUGCGCACAUUCCGCUUCAGCAGCCCAGGGUUCGCCAGUUCAGAUCCCAGGUGUGGACAUGGCACCACUUGGCAGGUCGUGCUGUGGUAGGCGUCCCACAUGUGAGGUGGAGGGAGAUGGGCACAGAUGUUGGCUCAGGGCUGGUCUUCCUCGGCAAAAGGAGAGGAGGAUUGGCGGUGGGCCUUCCUCCAAAAAAAAAAAAAAAAAGCGACAUUUGGGAAGUAAAAUUGAUAAGAUUCAGGGAUGGACUAAAUAUUGUGGGGAGGGAGAGACAAGGUGCCAAGCAGGACCCAGGAGUUUCUAUUUUAUGUAAGUAGAUGGAUUGUGGUCUACUCACGAAGCUCUAGAGAGCACAGGAAGAGGUCAAGGUUUGAUACUGAAGAAAAAGAAUCUGGUGUUGAACACAUUGAGUUUGAGAUGACUUUAGAUAUCCAAUUUAGAUGUUUCUAUAGCAGCUUGAGACAGAAUUUAUGCUUUUACAGUGUAUAAUUCUGUGGUUUUUAAUGCAGUCAGAGUUAUGCAAUCAUCACUACUAGUUUUUUUGUUUUUGUUUUUUUACAUUUUCAUCACUCCAAAAAGAAAACCCAUAGCCAUUAACAGUAAUUCCUCCUUCCUCCUACCCCUGGUAAUCACUAAUCUACUUUCAGUCUGUAUGGAUAUGCCUAUGCUGG
ensembl:lncRNA